GGAGGUGUAGCUCAGUGGUGGAGUGCUUGCCUAGCAUGCCAGAGGCCCUGGGUUCAAUCCCCAGCACUGCAA
rnacentral:tRNA from 1 species